rnacentral:misc_RNA from 1 species
GAUGAAGAACGCAGCGAAAUGCGAUAAGUAAUGUGAAUUGCAGAAUUCAGUGAAUCAUCGAAUCUUUGAACGCACCUUGCGCUCUUUGGCCAUUCCGAAGGGCAUGCCUGUUUGAGUAUCAUGAACACCUCAACUCUCAUGGCUCGCCAUGAUGAGCUUGGACUUUGGGGGUCUUGCUGGCCUGUGGUCGGCUCCUCUCAAAUGGAUCAGCUUGCCAGUGUUUGGUGGCAUCACAGGUGUGAUAACUAUCUGCGCUUGUGGUUUUCCAUCAGAUAACCUUCAGUGAUGGAGGUUCGCUGGAGCUCAUAAACGUCUCCCCUAAGCGGGGACAGCCCUUUGAAUGUUUGAUCUCAAAUCAGGUAGGACUACCCGCUGAACUUAAGCAUAUCAAUAAGCGGAGGA